AAAACUCUUACUAUGAAAACGGCGUUAGGCUGCGUCGUUUAGCGCAUUCUUCGGUUCACACAGCAGCACACAUUGGAGUUAACAUCAAAAGCAGAGUAACGUUACAAGAAAAGUGGAUGCAUGUCUCUUUGUUCAACAAGUAAAUGGCGAUUCAUGUGAGGCAACUAAGCUAUAUGAAAGAGAAGCGCUGCACACAAAUCUGUUGAAUGUGAAUGAGAACAUGUUGCAGCAUCUGGUAUUUUGAGAGUCGAAUGACUUGUCCAGCUCAGCCUUCUCUUCAACAGCCUCACAACAAUUUCUUGCCCAAAAAUGCUGACCGAACUGUAGCACUGAUCUUGACCAUUCUGACAAGCGGUAAGUGGUAAGAAUCGGUAGCCAUCUCCUCCACAGCGACCCUGUGUCCCGGUUUCUCCCUAUGUUUGCCCGAGGACUACAUUACUUACAGUCCUCCACGCUCCCGAAUCUGUUUCGUGUCUGCAAUCCCCACACCUGUCAACAGUCCCCACACCUGUCAACAGCCCCCUCACCACCCAUGAACUAUAUAUUCUGUACCUGUGUGUUCUGUCAGUGUAGCCUUUCACCUGUGAGUGACACCUCAAAUUUUAGAAGAUUAUUGGUGAAGAGCCAUGAUUACAAUAUUUUGGGAAAUAACUGCAGCUGCUUAAAAUGUCGACAUUUUCAUAUCAAUCACUGGGAUGUCGGAUUCAUGUUAGAACAUCAGCUUCAUUGGGUUAUUUUUAAAAGAAUCGGUUUA